UCUUUAUGGUGUAAUGGCUCAGCACUCUGGGACUUUUAAUCCAGCGAUCACGAGUGCAAAUCCCGAUUAGAA